UACAGAGGUCUCAAGCGUUGUUCGGAUUCAUUGGGCGUAAAGGGUGCGUAGGUGGCGAGGUAAGUCAGGUGUGAAAUUUCGGAGCUUAACUCCGAAACUGCAUUUGAUACUGCCUUGCUUGAGGACUGGAGAGGAGACUGGAAUUCACGGUGUAGCAGUGAAAUGCGUAGAUAUCGUGAGGAAGACCAGUGGCGAAGGCGGGUCUCUGGACAGUUCCUGACACUGAGGCAGCGAAGGCCAGGGAGCAAACGGG
rnacentral:rRNA from 1 species